rnacentral:snRNA from 1 species
GAUUACUUUUGUCAUAUACUAAAAUUAGAAUGAUGCAGAUAAGGGUAUUAUUGUCCCUGUGAAAAGUUGACAUGGAUAUUUGUGAAUCAUUGCUUAUUUUU